UUACCGAGUUUACAACUCCCAAACCCAAUGUGAACGUUACCAAACUGUUGCCUCGGCGGGAUCUCUGCCCCGGGUGCGUCGCAGCCCCGGACCAAGGCGCCCGCCGGAGGACCAACCAAAACUCUUAUUGUAUACCCCCUCGCGGGUUUUUUACUAUCUGAGCCAUCUCGGCGCCCCUCGUGGGCGUUUCGAAAAUGAAUCAAAACUUUCAACAACGGAUCUCUUGGUUCUGGCAUCGAUGAAGAACGCAGCGAAAUGCGAUAAGUAAUGUGAAUUGCAGAAUUCAGUGAAUCAUCGAAUCUUUGAACGCACAUUGCGCCCGCCAGUAUUCUGGCGGGCAUGCCUGUCCGAGCGUCAUUUCAACCCUCGAACCCCUCCGGGGGGUCGGCGUUGGGGAUCGGCCCUUUACGGGGCCGGCCCCGAAAUACAGUGGCGGUCUCGCCGCAGCCUCUCCUGCGCAGUAGUUUGCACACUCGCAUCGGGAGCGCGGCGCGUCCACAGCCGUUAAACACCCCAAACUUCUGAAAUGUUGACCUCGGAUCAGGUAGGAAUACCCGCUGAACUUAAGCAUAUCAAUAAGGCGGAGGA
rnacentral:rRNA from 1 species